AAUUUCAGGCAUGAAAUUUUCAGAAUUCAGAUGAAUGGCAGCAAAAAACACCUUGUUAUGAAGCCUCUGUGGCUGUUGCAGGGGCCAGACCACAGGUAGGCGAUAGGGAGGAGAUGGUGCUCUUCUGUACGCGCUUCUUAAUAGUGCCAGUAGAAUGAGUGAGGAGAACAGAUAACAAAGGAAGGUUAAUGUGAACCUGUGUUGUCACUGAGAGCUGAGGCACUUCAGUGCUGGCCAUGAGGCAGAGAGCAGCUGAUCACGUACCAGUCUUGGUGGCACCUCUGCUCCUCCUCAACUAGCUGUGAAGGGCAGAAAAAUGCCCAGAGUCUGGUUUGAGAUGGGGCUCAGCUCCUGCUCCUCUCCGUGCCACAGGCAGGGACCGGGCAGCUGUGGCUGCAGUUCCAAGUUGUGUUGUUUUCAAACAGGAAAAAAGAUGAAACCCACAUACGUGCAUUUUAAAUGGGAUGCAAGUCUCGUGCACAGAGUACAGUUGCAGCACUUGAGAUGGAAUGAGUACAUCAUCCACAGGACUAAUUUAGAUUUUAUUUUGGUAUUUCUCAAAUAUAAAAAGUCAAAAUUCUUACAUCAACCUUGAAAGAAAAUCCAUGCAAGCAGAUCAAAAUGUUUACAACUUAUUUUGCAUCCCCCCACCCCCCCUCAGUUUUCACUUCACAAACCAUGGCAGUACGUAAACCAAGUGUUUGCCUCCUGUCUGUUUUUUUUACAGCACGUUGUUAGCAGACCAUGGCAAGGUUAACGCAGGGUGCAGUAAGCACCAAAAUAAGGUAUUCCACUUCAGCAGCCUCUGUGCAGUCCUUCAGUAUUUCUUUUGGUGUUUAAGAACACGUUAUUCCAUUUACUCCCUGCUCGGUGUGUUUUUAAACUUUACAGCUAUUUCUCUUUGCUACCACUAUAAUGAUAGAACUUAACACAGGAAGCAGUGGCACAAACUCAGCUUUCUGAGAUGAGCAGCUGCCACACUUCUCUUUCCUCUGGAGAGCCAAAUCUGGGUAUGUUGUACAGAAUUCACUGCAUGAGAACAAUUCCAUAUCCACUCUGUACACAGCAGAUUGGGACCAUCUAAAGAGAGAUGUGUGGAAAAGGAGAAGGCUUUACGUUCUAAUGGAUAGGUAGCAGAAAAAUACGUGCAGCUUUCCAACUGAUUUUUAAACAGACCCCUUCUGUUAAGCUUAGGGUCAGAUUGCAUUACAGCUGAAGCCACACCACUGCUCCUUUACUAGAGUGGCUUUCUUUCAGCACAGCUGAAGCACUUUCAAUUCACCAGCACUGUCAGGUUUGUCCAAUUCACAGAACAUUCAUCUCUGAGAGGGAGUGGAAGUCAAACUAAGCAUCACAGGGUUUCCUUCUGGAGGCUGCACAGAGACUGAAGAGGUUUAUACAAUAAUGAAUGCUGCUUCAAAAUCCAUCUGGCAUUACUGAACAGCUCAAAUGUGUGUGACCAAAAAAAUAACCAAAAUAUUUAUAGGCAAUCAACUCUGAGUUUGUUAGCAACAGCAAUACUGUACAUUUUUACAUUAUUAUCAAAUACAUUAUUCGAGAGUUACAAAAUAAGGUCAUGCAUUACCACUAAAUCUCAUACAAGCUUGGAUUGGUUUCAUUCCAAGAAUUGGAAACUGAGACAGAAGCAGUCUUAGGAAUAAGGACUUGAACUCCAGAUUCUCGUUUUAGCUCUCACAUUUCUAUAGAAUCUUGUUACAAGAAAGCCUGUACAAGUUUGCUCAAUUUAAAGUGUUCAAAUGACUACUGAACAAAAAAGUGAGCAAAAGGUAAGUGCCCAGAAAGCUGAAAUUGUCACUCUUUGAAAGGCAACUUUAGAGCCGGAGGUACUUUACACAACAGGGGCAUAGUUUUAACAAACGCUGAACACAGUUGAAAAUGCUCUAUUCCACCCUUUGCUAUUUAGCCUAUCGUGCCCCUGCUUUUGAAACCACUGAGUUCAGCCCUUCACCUCGUAACUAAAGGCAAGGAUAAGCUGUCAGCAGUACUUCCAUGCUAAUGUGUGCCUAAACAGAGUUGUGUUCUUUCCCAUUCUGGAAGUGACGUGGAAUAGGACAUGCAGGGAUGGAAAGCCCUACCCAACAUUGCAGAAGUCUUCAGCUUUGUGGCUCAUGCCUCUUGUCAGUAGUAUUUAUGCCUCUUCAAAGAGAGCAGCAUUAAGAGAUCAGAACGCCUGUCUCCCUCAUUCCACUGCAUUUACAUAUGGCACAAGGUUGGUUUUCUAAGGAGUAACUUCUGGCAACAACAUUUUUUUUCCUAAAAAAGUGUAACAGCACAAAAAAGUUUAAUUUAUAGCAGCAUUUUACACAAUUUGUGUUAAAAAAGUAGAAGUUAACCAUUUGUGUAUUGAGUAACAAAAGGUUUAAAUUACAUUUAUUUUCCAUUUUACACUCACUAUUUACUAUUUGGACUAUUUACAAAGGUUCAAACGCUGUGUAGAGAAUGAGCUAUACCCAGAAUAAACUUCACACGUGAGGUAAUGCUUUACCUCAGCCUCUGCUUUGACUGGCUGGAGAGAACAGUUGGGUUUAGAUCCUACAAGAAAUGCAGAAUUAAGGUGUUCAUAUGAAUUGGAUCGUGUUCCUGUAAAAGAAAGCCAUAUACACACAUACAUACACAGAAAGAAUAGUCCUAUGGUAGAACAUAUUAAGACCUACAGUGGGUUUAGGCUUCAUCAUCUUGGUUGAAGGAGAAAAUAACAAAGCAGAGGGGAGUUGUCAGCUGUACCUCAUUUAUUCCAGGUGAGUUUCACCAAGAGGCCAGCUGUUAAUUACAAAAUGCUAGAGCAACUGAUGUUAAAACAGUAAAACUCGAGUAUUAAAGAGCUAACUUUAAUACGGGGCUUUCAGCAUACCUUCUGAGUAAGACAAAGGAAUAUUAUUCCUCCACCAGCAUAUCAACCUACCUGUCUCCAAGGCCCAAGAAGUACCACAACCAGCUCCCACUGGGCACAACACCUCAACACGUUUGCUAAUGAACACCUUAAAGGAUGCCCAUGGACUAAGCAUUUUUAAAUAACAGACUGCAUGUACACGACAUAAGAUGCUUGUCACUGGAGGUUAGCAGGCUCUGGAUCCUGCCAUGUAAUUGCACUACGAACAAAAUGUGCACCAAAAUGCUGAAAGGAAAAAAAUAAAGGGUGAGGGAGGGAACUGCAACACCCUUCACAUACAUCUGACACUUAAUUGGUUGACCAAGUAGCCAAAUUAUAGCAAAUGGGUUUGGUAAUUGCAAGACAGAGUUACUGUCCUUGCUCUAGUCCUACAUUAUGUGAAGGCUGCAUAGGACAAAGCAACUUUUUGGAUGACUGAGGCAAACAGCGCAUAGUGUUGGUAUCCUUGGCUCUCAACAGCCCAAAAUGGGUUGGUGAGCAUCUCUGUAGUCACACUUACACACCUCUGCCUUCAUCUCCCCAAACUGCGGUCUUCAGUUCUUAGCACAUCAUUUGCGGAUACCCAAUAGGAGUUUACUGUAAGCCUAGCUGCUCAAGCUUUUCUCUAAGCAAGUACUCUUGCAGAACUACUGACAAGCCUUAAAUAAGCUGAACACCACUUAGAUGCAUAUUUUAUUUUAGCAGAUAUGGAAAUUCAUAUACUCAAGUUUCAUUUUUUUUUAAAAAUGGCCUACUAAGGCAUCUUAAAAAAAUCCAUAUAUGGCUUUGGUUUGCUGAAAUACUAUUUUACAUUGUUAAAAAGGAAAAAUGCAUUCAAAUAAACUUGACAUUAUGACACAUUCACAUAUUUCACUUAGAACUGACAGUUAUACGGGUGCCUGCAUGUAAUCAAAGAUGUCUCCCCUUGCGAUGGCAUGAAUAAAAAGGUAAUCCAAACGUUUAUCUCACAGUAGAGGGCAACCCAGAAGUCUGUGCAGAAGUGACAUACAGGGAGUUAUUAUCUGGGAGAGGGGGAACCACGGAGUUUCCAUUCGUGGGUGAACAGCUCAGUUUCAGUUUUUCCAAGUACUCUGCGUGAACAGGCUUGUGGCACUGAAGGACCUUGAUUGCGUCUUCUACUUUAAACCACUCUCUUUUCCUUCCUAUAUUAACAGAAUCCUCCCAGUCUUCCAGUAUUUCUGUGACAGUGAGAACAUAAACGUACGUCCUAUGCUUCCGAUCCUGGUUCUCAAAUAUCCCGAGCAGUCUGCCUAGCUUUCCCUUUACGCCAGCCUCUUCAUACACCUCUCUGACAGCUGCUCCUCCAGGUUCCUCUUCUGGUUCCAUUCCUCCACCUGGUACAAUCCACUGAUCUGGGUAUCGGCUACUGCUUACUAACAGCACCUCGUCCUCCCGCUCGCUGCGGAAGCAGAGGCACGCCGCCCGCUUCUUGUAGCCCUCCCGGUCGUACGUCCGCGUCUGGUUCGGCUUAAAUUUCAUCAUAGAGGCGGUGACCCGCCGGCAGCCCCCGGCCGCCACGGCUCCUCUCCGAGCGCCCCGGGACGCCGCUCUCCGCCGCCGAGGGCCCCGCUAAGCGCUGGGGCGGGAGAAAGGCCGGCCCCGGCCGCCUGUCACAGCCGCGCCGCCCCGCUGCGACCGCCCCAGCGGCCGCGCCACGCCAUGGAGGCUCCGCGCCGCCCCGCUCUCUCGCUCAGUUCUGGCCGGCCGAGAGCCGCCGCCCCGCGCCCGAGCGCCGCGGCGGCCGCCCCUGCGCCCACUAUUUAACUGGAACGCACAUUCCUGCGCCCGCGCGCGCCGCGCCGCACCGCGCAGGCGCAGCGAGGGGAGGGAGUGCGGAGGGGGGGCGGUCCGCGGCGGCGGGCGGGGCACAGGGGCGGGAGGGAAGGUAAAGGGCCGGUCACGGCGGCGUGCUUAGUCACCCGCGGGGACUGUGGGGAGCGGCGGCGGCGGCGGCCCCGGAGUGGGCGGGGCCAGGGCGAACCCUGAGCGCCGCGGGCUGACGGGAAGCCGGCGGCUUGAGGGGUUCUCCGCUUGGAGCCCCGCUGGGGUGUGGGGCUGCCGUGAGGGAGCGGCUCCGCCCUCUCACGUUGAUGUUGUGCCGUAUUGUCCCUGCGGGGUGCACCUGCAGGCCGGGACGGCAGGCAACUUGCGUGGGAUUGCGUGUGUGAAGAUAGCGCUUCGGGAGCUGAGGUAGACAAAAGGCCCGGCCUUUUGGUCUGCUGCCCGCACGCCUUCUUUACGAUCUAGUCUUAGAAUCAUUAAGACUGGAAAAGGCCAUCGAUCUUUUUGUUCAGCCCAUCCCCACCGCGCCCACUGCCCGUGUCCCUCAGCGGCAAAAAAACUCUGAGACAUUUUUCCUGAUAUCCCACCCGCACCUCCUCUGGUGCCCUGCU
rnacentral:lncRNA from 1 species